UAUAAUUGCCACAUGCCUGUUUGUUCUGCUGGUGCUAAUAGGCACUCAUACCAGUAAUAGGCAGGCAAUGUGAAAUGCGCUAGGUUGCAUCUGCAAAUCCCUGUGUUAUCACACAUGACCUACUCUGUAUGUAAAGGAACCUUGGGCAUGAGAGCUCAGCCAUAAAAGUGUGUUGAUUAAGAGUCAUGAUCUUGGGGCAGAAGAUCAUGCCUAAAUAUGAGGUCAAGAGUCUGACCCAGACCCCAAAUAUGAAAAGACAGGCAGCACUGGAGAGGUAGAGAUUGAUGGACCUAUAGGACUCCAUGGCCAGCCAGCUUUUUCAAAUUGAUGAACCUCGGUCCAGUGCCUCAAACAAAAACAAGGUGGAUACUGACUGAAGACUGACAUUUGAGGUUAACUUCUGAAGCUUAAAUACACACGCAAGCAUGAACGCAUGCACAUGAAUACACACACACACACACACACACACACACACACACACACACGCAGAGAGAAGGGGGAGGAGAGAGAAAGAGACAGACAGAGACAGAGACAGACAGAGAGAGAGACAGAGAGAAACAGAGAGACAGAGAAACAGAGUCAGAGAAAGAGAGAAAACAACACACAACAGUAAGAAUAAUACUGAUAUAGAAUAAUACCUACAAUAAAUUCUGAUUUUUAAAACACCACUUAUCUCAAUGAUAGCCUAUGAGACUUUUUGUUACUAUUUACUUUUUAUAGGAACACUCUUUCUUCUUAUGAAAAGGCAGAUUUUUUUCUAGAGUACUGUUAGAAGAGUUAUUUGUGGAUCAUUGGAAUCAUAAAGAGAAUUAAAAUAUCGAUAGACAAACAUACUCAAAUUGCAUGCUCUCUGUGCUUCUCAUCAUUCACUUUUCCAGGCUGGAAUCAUUUGAUAAUUAUACUCCAAGCUCUUUGAUAUUUCUAACCAGCAGUGGGGAGUGGCUGCUACAAUAGAACCUCUCUAUGAGCCACUCAAUGAAGAAAAGGAUACUGAUAUAAGGAGAGGAGGGACGCUGCCUUUGAAGCAGUUCCAAGAACUACUACUUUGAAGGCGCUUUAAAAACACAUUGACUAUAAAACACUAGGUGCUUUCCUUUUCAUUUGUAGAUGAAAAGGGAUCCUAAGGAUAGUUCAAUAAGAGUUAACUAUUUCAAAAUACAGAGCCCAUGUGUAUUGAACGUUGUAAUGAUUGGGCAUGGUUCAAAGCUUAAUCUUCUAGUUAGUAACCAUAAUGAGAUAAUUAAUUAGAAGAGUUCACAAACCUAACUGUGUUUUGUUUUUCUUACUUACAAUUUACCCUUAUUUAAAACAUCUGUCGUUUCUAGUGUGUGUGUGUGUGUGUGUGUGUGUGUGUGUGUGUCUGUGUGUGUGUGUAUGUGUGUGUGUGUGUAUCCAUGUGUGAGAGCAUGCAUAUAAGCACAGUGCCUUUGGAAGUCAAAUAAAAGUCAGAUCCCUGUAACCGUAAUUAUAGAUAUUGGUGAGAUGGCCUAUGUGGCUGCUGUGAACUAAACACAGGUCCUCUGUAACAACAAAUUCUCCUGGGACUAAAGAAAUGGCUUGGCACUUAGAUGCUCUUGAGGAAGUCCUGGGAGUUUGGUUCCCAGCUCCCAUGCAGCUUCUCAUCAGUAUCUGUGAUUGAAACUACAGGAGAUCCGAUGUUUUCUCUUUGUCUCUGUAACAGCCAUGUACCUGGUACACACACACACACACACACACACACACACACACACACACACACACACACACAUAUAUAUAUGCAGCAAAAUACUCUUGUAUACAAAAUAAAUUAAAUAAAUAUUUAAGAUCAAGGAGUGGUCUUAUGCUAAACUAUCAAUCCAGGCAAAACAGAUUGUCAAGGGAAGACAAAAAGUACAUUACAGUUCAUUUGGUUUCUGCUUCUCUACUAAAAAUCUUCUCAGUUUUCCAGAAGCCUUUUAUGAUACCCAUACACCACAAACAAAAUGUGAACCACUCUAUUGAGUAAUUGGGUAUAUCCCAUAUCCCUGUCACAUUCUACCUUUGCAUUUUAUAAUAUAGUCACUAUGUGUCUAGUGAUUUGAACCCACGCAGACCAAUCAUGGACUUUUCUUCAUAUUCUAUUAUACAAUAGGCUAUUAAGUGGGAUGGCUAUAACUGUGCAAUUCUGCUAACUUAUCAUAUGUAAGGUGAAAGGGAACUUGUGAAGCUUUUGAAGAUUCUUCCAUUUAGUAGUCAAGCUGAGGCAGAAACCAUUUUCUCUGAAAUCCAGUCCUAUAAACUUAUGUUUAAUCAAAAAAGCAUUGUUCAGGAAUUCCUAUGAAUGACAUGAACUUUCCUCCCACCUUUAGCAUUGCUCAUCCAUAGACUUAUAAAUCAUCUCCCAGUGUGAAUAUGGACAUAUGUACUCAGUGAUGGCAUCUUUGUACUCCUUUAGGCAAGUGGUGUGUUACACGAUGAUUUCCACUCCACUUUGAGUUUUUAUAUCAAAAGGAUCAGAAGGUAAUUGUGAUGGAUAUUUUUAUCUGUCAACUUGACAAAAGCUAUCAUCUGAGAAGAGACUAUAAUGAGAAAAUGGAUAAUUAUCAAAUCAGGAUCUCAUUCAUCUUCUGCAUGAUGUGACUAGAUAUGGAGAAGGACAGAGAAUUGGUGAGGGAAAUGUGGUUGUUACUGCACUACAUAUAUAUUGAAGCUGUGAUCUACAAA